rnacentral:rRNA from 1 species
AGAAUCAACGCUGGCGGCGUGCCUAACACAUGCAAGUCGAACGAGAAAGUGGAGCAAUCCAUGAGUAAAGUGGCGACCGGGUGAGUAACACGUGACUAACCUACCUUCGAGUGGGGGAUAACAUCGGGAAACCGAUGCUAAUACCGCAUAACAUCGCAAGAUCAAAGCAGCAAUGCGCUGGAAGAGGGGGUCGCGGCUGAUUAGCUAGUUGGCGGGUAACGCCCACCAAGGCGAAGAUCGGUAGCCGGCCUGAGAGGGCGCACGGCCACACUGGAACUGAAACACGGUCCAGACUCCUACGGGAGGCAGCAGUGGGGAAUUUUGCGCAAUGGGGGAAACCCUGACGCAGCAACGCCGCGUGGAGGAUGAAGCCCUUGGGGUGUAAACUCCUUUCGACCAAGACGAUAAUGACGGUACUGGUGGAAGAAGCACCGGCUAACUCUGUGCCAGCAGCCGC